rnacentral:rRNA from 1 species
CAUAUCAAUAAGCGGAGGAAAAGAAACCAACAGGGAUUGCCUCAGUAACGGCGAGUGAAGCGGCAACAGCUCAAAUUUGAAAUCUGGCGUCAGCCCGAGUUGUAAUUUGGAGAGGAUGCUUCUGGGCAGCGGCCGGUCUAAGUUCCUUGGAACAGGACGUCAUAGAGGGUGAGAAUCCCGUAUGCGACCGAUUGGCACCCGCCACGUAGCUCCUUCGACGAGUCGAGUUGUUUGGGAAUGCAGCUCUAAAUGGGUGGUAAAUUCCAUCUAAAGCUAAAUACCGGCCAGAGACCGAUAGCGCACAAGUAGAGUGAUCGAAAGAUGAAAAGCACUUUGGAAAGAGAGUUAAACAGCACGUGAAAUUGUUGAAAGGGAAGCGCAUGCGACCAGACUUGCUGACGGUGUUCCCCCGGUCUUCUGACCGGGUCACUCGCCGCCGGCAGGCCAGCAUCGUGYGGGCGCGCCGGAUAAAGGCGCCGGGAAUGUGGCCCCACUGAGGGGUGUUAUAGCCCGGCGCACAAUACGGCGCCGCCCGCGCGAGGUCCGCGUUUCGGCUAGGAUGCUGGCGUAAUGGUCGUAUGCGGCCCGUCUUGAAACACGGACCAAGGAGUCUAACAUCUGUGCGAGUGUUCGGGUGUCAAACCCCUACGCGGAAUGAAAGUGAACGGAGGUGGGAGCUUCGGCGCACCAUCGACCGAUCCUGAUGUCCUCGGAUGGAUUUGAGUAAGAGCAUAGCUGUUGGGACCCGAAAGAUGGUGAACUAUGCCUGAAUAGGGUGAAGCCAGAGGAAACUCUGGUGGAGGCUCGCAGCGGUUCUGACGUGCAAAUCGAUCGUCAAAUUUGGGU